rnacentral:rRNA from 1 species
GAUGAACGCUGGCGGCGUGCCUAAUACAUGCAAGUCGAGCGAACGGACGAGAAGCUUGCUUCUCUGAUGUUAGCGGCGGACGGGUGAGUAACACGUGGAUAACCUACCUAUAAGACUGGGAUAACUUCGGGAAACCGUAGCUAAUACCGGAUAAUAUUUUGAACCGCAUGGUUCAAAAGUGAAAGACGGUCUUGCUGUCACUUAUAGAUGGUUCCGCGCUGCAUUAGCUAGUUGGUAAGGUAACGGCUUACCAAGGCAACGAUGCAUAGCCGACCUGAGAGGGUGAUCGGCCACACUGGAACUGAGACACGGAACAGACUCCUACGGGAGGCAGCAGUAGGGAAUCUUCCGCAAUGGGCGAAAGCAUGACGGAGCAAAGCCGCGUGAGUGAUGAAGGUCUUCGGAUCGUAAAACUCUGUUAUUAGGGAAGAACAUAUGUGUAAGUAAAUGUGCACAUCUUGACGGUACCUAAUCAGAAAGCCACGGCUAACUACGUG